UAAGCAAAAUAAGGAAACUGUU
rnacentral:miRNA from 1 species